rnacentral:rRNA from 1 species
UACGGGGGGGGCAAGCGUUGUUCGGAAUUACUGGGCGUAAAGGGCUCGUAGGUGGCCAACUAAGUCAUACGUGAAAUCCCUCGGCUUAACCGGGGAACUGCGUCUGAUACUGGAUGGCUUGAGGUUGGGAGAGGGAUGCGGAAUUCCAGGUGUAGCGGUGAAAUGCGUAGAUAUUCGCAAGAACACCAGUGGCGAAGGCGGCUCACUGGCCCGAUACUGACGCUGAUGCACGAAAGCGUGGGGAGCAAACAGG